CGUCAUCGCUUACCCCUUGUUCGGUUUCCCUUCAGCUGUCGCCGCUCCAACGCCCUCUUGCUUACGCCGCAGAUACUGAAAACGGGUAUUCGGCAUUUGCGAGCCAUGCCGCGCAAGAUUAUUCUCGAUUGUGAUCCCGGGAUCGAUGAUGCCGUGGCCAUCUUUCUCGCCCACGGCAACCCGGAGGUCGAGCUGCUGGCCAUUACGACGGUGGUGGGCAACCAGACCCUGGAGAAGGUGACCCGGAACGCGCGGCUGGUAGCUGACGUAGCCGGCAUCGUUGGUGUGCCCGUCGCGGCUGGUUGCACCAAGCCCCUCGUGCGCGGUGUGCGGAAUGCCUCUCAGAUUCAUGGCGAAACCGGCAUGGGUAACGUCUCCUACCCACCAGAGUUCAAGACAAAGUUGGACGGCCGUCAUGCAGUGCAGCUGAUCAUCGACCUUAUCAUGUCGCACGAGCCGAAGACGAUCACGCUUGUGCCUACGGGUGGCCUGACGAACAUUGCGAUGGCUGUCCGUCUUGAGCCGCGCAUCGUGGACCGUGUGAAGGAGGUGGUUCUGAUGGGUGGCGGCUACCAUACUGGUAAUGCGUCCCCUGUAGCGGAGUUCAACGUCUUCGUCGACCCGGAGGCGGCGCACAUUGUGUUCAACGAGAGCUGGAACGUAACGAUGGUGGGGCUGGACCUAACGCACCAGGCACUCGCCACGCCGGCGGUCCAGAAGCGAGUGAAGGAGGUGGGCACGAAGCCGGCUGCCUUCAUGCUGCAGAUUUUGGACUUUUACACGAAGGUGUACGAAAAGGAGCGCAACACGUACGCGACGGUGCACGAUCCCUGCGCUGUGGCGUACGUGAUUGACCCCACCGUGAUGACGACGGAGCAAGUGCCAGUGGACAUCGAGCUCAAUGGGGCACUGACGACUGGGAUGACGGUCGCGGACUUCCGCUACCCACGGCCAAAGCACUGCCACACGCAGGUGGCUGUGAAGCUGGACUUCGACAAGUUUUGGUGCCUCGUGAUUGACGCACUCAAGCGCAUCGGCGAUCCUCAAUGACGUGUGUGUGUCGCGAUUGGCCACCGACGCGGUGGCCAGCUCGCGGCCAUAAAGCUGUCAGAGCAACGGCACGCGCGUGCGGCGGCUUGUGUGAAGCGUCUUUUUUUUCCUCUCGCUACGAGGUUAUUGCCACUGCACUGGUGCAGCUCCGUGUCGCAUGAGGGAAAAGGGUGGGUGGGGAAGAGUGGAGACGAGGCAAGGUGGACAGGCCGUGGUGGAGCAGCUGGGAGGGUAUUGAUCGCAGUUAUGAACCCGAGUAGGUGAUUACACCACCUCCGCCGCCUGAAUCGCCCUUUCUCGCGCCUUCUUACAGCAUCCCCUGCAUCCUUUUUUUUUCCGUCGGUUCAG
rnacentral:misc_RNA from 1 species